GACGAACGCUGGCGGCGUGCCUAAUACAUGCAAGUUGAGCGCUGAAGGUUGGUACUUGUACCAACUGGAUGAGCAGCGAACGGGUGAGUAACGCGUGGGGAAUCUGCCUUUGAGCGGGGGACAACAUUUGGAAACGAAUGCUAAUACCGCAUAAAAACUUUAAACACAAGUUUUAAGUUUGAAAGAUGCGAUUGCAUCACUCAAAGAUGAUCCCGCGUUGUAUUAGCUAGUUGGUGAGGUAAAGGCUCACCAAGGCGAUGAUACAUAGCCGACCUGAGAGGGUGAUCGGCCACAUUGGGACUGAGACACGGCCCAAACUCCUACGGGAGGCAGCAGUAGGGAAUCUUCGGCAAUGGACGAAAGUCUGACCGAGCAACGCCGCGUGAGUGAAGAAGGGUUUCGGAUCGUAAAACUCUGUUGGUAGAGAAGAACGUUGGUGAGAGUGGAAAGCUCAUCAAGUGACGGUAACUACCCAGAAAGGGACGGCUAACUACGUG
rnacentral:rRNA from 1 species